GACGAACGCUGGCGGCGUGCUUAACACAUGCAAGUCGAACGGAAAGGCCCUGCUUUUGUGGGGUGCUCGAGUGGCGAACGGGUGAGUAACACGUGAGUAACCUGCCCUUGACUUUGGGAUAACUUCAGGAAACUGGGGCUAAUACCGGAUAGGAGCUCCUGCUGCAUGGUGGGGGUUGGAAAGUUUCGGCGGUUGGGGAUGGACUCGCGGCUUAUCAGCUUGUUGGUGGGGUAGUGGCUUACCAAGGCUUUGACGGGUACCCUGCAUGAGAGGGUGACCGGCCACAUUGGGACUGAGAUACGGCCCAGACUGCUACGGGAGGCAGCAGUGGGGAAUAUUGCACAAUGGGCGGAAGACUGAUGCAGCAACGCCGCGUGCGGGAUGACGGCCUUCGGGUUGUAAACCGCUUUCGACUGUGACGAAGCGUGAGUGACGGUAAUGGGUAAAGAAGCACCGGCUAACUACGUG
rnacentral:rRNA from 1 species